rnacentral:rRNA from 1 species
UGGGGAAUAUUGGACAAUGGGGGGCAACCCUGAUCCAGCAAUGCCGCGUGUGUGAAGAAGGUCUUCGGAUUGUAAAGCACUUUCGACGGGGACGAUGAUGACGGUACCCGUAGAAGAAGCCCCGGCUAACUUCGUGCCAGCAGCCGCGGUAAUACGAAGGGGGCUAGCGUUGCUCGGAAUGACUGGGCGUAAAGGGCGUGUAGGCGGUUUACACAGUCAGAUGUGAAAUCCCCGGGCUUAACCUGGGAGCUGCAUUUGAUACGUGUAGACUAGAGUGUGAGAGAGGGUUGUGGAAUUCCCAGUGUAGAGGUGAAAUUCGUAGAUAUUGGGAAGAACACCGGUGGCGAAGGCGGCAACCUGGCUCAUGACUGACGCUGAGGCGCGAAAGCGUGGGGAGCAAACAGGUUAGAUACCCUGGUAGUCCACGCUGUAAACGAUGUGUGCUAGAUGUUGGGUAACUUUGUUAUUCAGUGUCGCA